AUUGAACGCUGGCGGCAGGCCUAACACAUGCAAGUCGAGCGGAUGAAGGGAGCUUGCUCCUGGAUUCAGCGGCGGACGGGUGAGUAAUGCCUAGGAAUCUGCCUGGUAGUGGGGGAUAACGUCCGGAAACGGGCGCUAAUACCGCAUACGUCCUGAGGGAGAAAGUGGGGGAUCUUCGGACCUCACGCUAUCAGAUGAGCCUAGGUCGGAUUAGCUAGUUGGUGGGGUAAAGGCCUACCAAGGCGACGAUCCGUAACUGGUCUGAGAGGAUGAUCAGUCACCUUGGAACUGAGACCCGGCCCAAGCUCCCACGGGAGGCAGCAGUGGGGAAUUUUGGAAAAUGGGCGAAAGCCUGAACCAGCCAGGCCGGGGGUGUGAAGAAGGUCUUCGGAUUGUAAAGCCCUUUAAGGUGGGGGGAAGGGAAGUAAGUUAAUACCUGGCUUUUUUGACGUUACCAACAAAAUAAGCACCGGCUAACUUCGU
rnacentral:rRNA from 1 species